AGUGAACGCUGGCGGCAGGCCUAAUACAUGCAAGUCGAACGGCAGCACAGCAGAGCUUGCUCUGUGGGUGGCGAGUGGCGGACGGGUGAGGAAUACGUGGGAAUCUGCCCAGUCGUGGGGGAUAACGUAGGGAAACUUACGCUAAUACCGCAUGCGCCCUUCGGGGGAAAGCCGGGGACCUUCGGGCCUGGCGCGAUUGGAUGAGCCCACGUCGGAUUAGCUAGUUGGCGGGGUAAAGGCCCACCAAGGCGACGAUCCGUAGCUGGUCUGAGAGGAUGAUCAGCCACACUGGAACUGAGACACGGUCCAGACUCCUACGGGAGGCAGCAGUAGGGAAUAUUGGACAAUGGGCGCAAGCCUGAUCCAGCCAUGCCGCGUGAGUGAAGAAGGCCCUCGGGUUGUAAAGCUCUUUUGUCCGGAAAGAAAAGCGCCGGGUUAAUACCCUGGUGUCCUGACGGUACCGGAAGAAUAAGCACCGGCUAACUCGUGCCAGCAGCCGCGGUAAAGUA
rnacentral:rRNA from 1 species